rnacentral:sRNA from 1 species
GGGAGGGAGUGACUAGUGACAGAGUGAGGGAGUGGGUGACACAGUGACAGAGUUAGGGAGGGAGUGACUAGUGACAGAGAGAGGGAUGGGGUGACUAGUGACAGUCACCCCCUCCCUCUGUCACUAGUCACUCCCUCCCUCUGUUACUAGUCACUCCCUCACUCUGUCACCAGUCAUCCCCUCACUCUGUCACCAGUCACCCCUUCCCUCCCUCACUCUGCCACUAGUCAUCUUUUCCCUCCC